UAUGGGAUUGGCACAAAAAACUCUAUGCCUUUGUGAAUUUAGGAACAUCUAUGCUUAAGCUGAAUUAUUUGACUGUUUAGGAUAUGAUAUUUGAUUCGCUGCUUUUCUCGCCUUUUAACGCUGUCUGCUUUGCCUCUGCAAUUGACGCAGCGAACAAGAGAAACGAGUUCAGAAAGUGACGUUGAUGCUGAUGCUGCUGAAAGUGACGUUGUUGAUGCUGCUGAAAGUGAACAAGAGAAAUGCAAAAGAAACGAUGUUGAUGCUGCUGAAAGUGACGUUGAUUGAGUUGAUGGAGAUGUUGUUAACGGAGAAGCAAGCACAACAGUGAAAGGUGAGAGUUGUGUCGUUGGAAAAGUCUCAACGAUGAAGACGAUGAAUGCCAAUAACAUUGAUUGAAAAAGAGGACAAUAUCGUUAUUUCCUAAUUUAACAAGUGCUUAUUUUCAUAAGCUUAACUCAAAAAUGUCUUUUUCCUAGUUUAUGGGCCAAAAUAUGUCCAUUUUCGCAAAAGCCCCCUCGUUUUUGUUCCUUAUUGUGUGUAAGAAGUAAGAACAUAUCUAUGAAUAACAUCUUUAUAUGUG
rnacentral:misc_RNA from 1 species